UACGUAGGGGCCGAGCGUUGUCCGGAGUUACUGGGCGUAAAGGGCGCGUAGGCGGCCUGCUAAGUCGGACGUGAAAUCCCUCGGCUCAACCGGGGAACUGCGUCCGAUACUGUCGGGCUAGAGUACCGGAAGAGGCGAGUGGAAUUCCUGGUGUAGCGGUGGAAUGCGCAGAUAUCAGGAGGAACACCGAUGGCGAAGGCAGCUCGCUGGGACGGUACUGACGCUGGAGGCGACGAAAGCGUGGGGAGCGAACAGGA
rnacentral:rRNA from 1 species